ACGAACCGUGCGAACGUUGUUCGGAAUCACUGGGCUUAAAGGGCGCGUAGGCGGACGACCAAGUCAGGGGUGAAAGCCCCCAGCUCAACUGGGGAAGUGCCUUUGAUACUGGUUGUCUCGAGGGAGGUAGGGGCGUGCGGAACUUCCGGUGGAGCGGUGAAAUGCGUGGAUAUCGGAAGGAACGCCGGUGGCGAAAGCGGCGCGCUGGACCUCUUCUGACGCUGAGGCGCGAAAGCUAGGGGAGCAAACGGGG
rnacentral:rRNA from 1 species